GAUGAACGCUGGCGGCGUGCCUAAUACAUGCAAGUCGAGCGAACGGACGAGAAGCUUGCUUUUCUGAUGUUAGCGGCGGACGGGUGAGUAACACGUGGAUAACCUACCUAUAAGACUGGGAUAACUUCGGGAAACCGUAGCUAAUACCGGAUAAUAUUUUGAACCGCAUGGUUCAAGAGUGAAAGACGGUCUUGCUGUCACUUAUAGAUGGAUCCGCGCUGCAUUAGCUAGUUGGUAAGGUAACGGCUUACCAAGGCAACGAUGCAUAGCCGACCUGAGAGGGUGAUCGGCCACACUGGAACUGAGACACGGUCCAGACUCCUACGGGAGGCAGCAGUAGGGAAUCUUCCGCAAUGGGCGAAAGCCUGACGGAGCAACGCCGCGUGAGUGAUGAAGGUCUUCGGAUCGUAAAACUCUGUUAUUAGGGAAGAACAUAUGUGUAAGUAACUGUGCACAUCUUGACGGUACCUAAUCAGAAAGCCACGGCUAACUACGUG
rnacentral:rRNA from 1 species